UCUUACUUAAAACAUUUUCAUUGUUAAAUUGUACUCUGACUCAAAGUUUUAUCUGUGUGAGUAACUCCAACGUCUCCGUGUUUGCAGAUCUAUCUGGGGGUAGCAGCUCAGUACUGGGGAAGUUUGCAUGAGUUUGACCUCUGAAAACAGGAGGGGUUUUAUUCUUGGGGAACUACUAAGAGUUACUACGGUCUGAGUUGCCUAGGCCUGUAUAUUUGCCUGGUCUCACAUGCCUUGUUUAAUAAUUAAUCUCAUACUUGCUAUUCGUACUGAGCUUUUUUUUAUGAGAUGAAUGUUUCUGUGCAAGUGAAGUGCUAAAGCGCAAGAAACAGUUUUCCUUCGGGUUGGUCGGUUGUGCAUGGUGAUUUCGUGCUGGAAGACGUAGGGAAACAUUAUCUCGCAUUUGGGGUGUAUUCAAUUCGAUUGAUUAAAGAACUGGUUAUGGCCGGGAUGUUUGGCACAUUAAACAGGAACUUGCGACCGACUUUGAAACGGGUUCAGCUGCUGUCGGUUCUCAGAAACACACCGUGGAGUCACGAGGUGCAGAUCCGUGCCUGCGCUGCGGCUGCGGCUACUUUUCAGUUACGUGAAGGCUACCUUGUGCUGAACUAUGGAGUGACCCCGAUGUAUUUUAACUACGUGUGGCUGCGGGAUCACUGCCACUCCGCCUCCUCGUAUAACGCUGCCACUAACCAGAGAAACGUGGACACUGGCAGUAUAGACCUCAGCAUCCGUCCUGACAAAGCAGCGGUGGAAGAUGGUCACCUCGUCCUGACAUGGCCCGGUGGUCAUGUCUCAAAGCACAGUCUUAGCUGGCUAGCCAAGAACAGCUACGAAAGAACAAAAGACUGCACCAUACAGCCACGCAUCCUUUGGAACUCAGACAUCUAUAAAAAGGCAAACAUACAGUCAGCCAAAUGGGAUACAUUUAUGAGCUGUGAUGAUGAACUGAAGAAGUUUCUUCAGAACUACCUUCUGUAUGGGAUUGCUUUUGUUGACAAUGUUCCAGCUACAGUUGAGGCCACAGAGGCAGUCACCCAGAGGGUCAGUGUCAUCAGGGAGACCACAUACGGAAGAAUGUGGAGCUUCACUUCAGAUUUUUCCAGGGGAGACACUGCUUACAGCCAGUUGGCCCUGGACCGUCACACUGACACCUCAUACUUUCAGGAACCAUGUGGAAUCCAGGUUUUCCACUGCCUCAAGCAUGAAGGAACUGGGGGAAGGACACUACUCGUGGAUGGGUUUUAUGCUGCAGAAAAAUUAUGCCAGCAAUCACCUAAAAGCUUCGAGCUGCUUGCCCAUGUGCCCAUCAAGCAUGAGUACAUUGAAAACACCGACAACCACAAAAACCACAUGAUAGGCAUCGGCCCUGUGCUUAAUGUCUAUCCUUGGAACAAAGAAAUUUACCUCAUCCGAUACAACAACUAUGACCGGUCAGUGAUUAACACAGUCCCUCAUGACACUGUUCAGCGGUGGUAUGUGGCACAUCGGGAGCUGACCACUGAACUAAGGCGACCAGAGAAUGAGCUGUGGGUGAAUCUGACUCCCGGAAAAGUGAUUUUCAUAGACAACUGGCGUGUCCUGCAUGGCAGGGAGUCAUUUACUGGCUUGAGGCAGCUCUGUGGAUGCUAUCUGACCAGAGAAGACAUCCUCAGCACUGCACGCUGCUUUGGUCUGCAGGCCUGAUCAUGAAGGGCCCUUCACAUCUGUGCCUCAUCGGUUAGCCUAUAAUAUAGGCCAAAGGGAGCCACAACAAGGAAGCUGAAGAGCCGCAUGCAGCUCCGGAGCCACAGGUUGCCGACCCCUGUUUUAGGUGAAAGAAUGCGGGAGGAGUUAGUUGCCAAAAAAUGGACAGAAGACAAAGAUAUGUCUCAAUUGCACUGCAUUUUAUUGAUCACCAAAUGGCACUCCAGGAGUGUGUCAUUGAGCUGCAGCAUUAGGAUGACUCAGCACUUUGAGCUCCCAUUGACUUAUAUUAUUUAAAAAAAAAAGCUGAAUAUCUUAAAAAGUAUAAACAGUUGAAUACCUGAAUGGCCUUUAUAGCUGAAAGCAUGCUGGAGUUAUAAAGUACCAGAAAACGAAUGGAAGAUCCCAGAAUAAUAAUAAAUAAAGAACAGGAAAACAUAGUGUGGAUGCUUGUCAGCAUCCACACAAAAAUACAUAAACGAUCCACUGUUGUGCGGUUCCCUCUUUAUUUCAGGGCAGGCCACACCAUUGAUAUCUGUCAAUAUAUCAUUAAAUUCCAAGAACAUCUGAGGAAAAAUUAUAAUAAAAAAAAUGAAGCAACCUGGCAUUAUAACAGACUCUACACUGUGAAAACUGCAACUUAUUUUUCUUCUUUAGUUGACGAAUACAGGAAACUUAUUUACUUGGUGUAACUUAAAAUCAUGAGUUUA